rnacentral:rRNA from 5 species
AGCAACAAAUGCCCUGCUUCCAGGAAAAGCCUCUAAGCAUCAGGUAACAUCAAAUCGUACCCCAAACCGACACAGGUGGUCAGGUAGAGAAUACCAAGGCGCUUGAGAGAACUCGGGUGAAGGAACUAGGCAAAAUGGUGCCGUAACUUCGGGAGAAGGCACGCUGACACGUAGGUGAAGUGAUUUACUCAUGGAGCUGAAGUCAGUCGAAGAUACCAGCUGGCUGCAACUGUUUAUUAAAAACACAGCACUGUGCAAACACGAAAGUGGACGUAUACGGUGUGACGCCUGCCCGGUGCCGGAAGGUUAAUUGAUGGGGUCAGCGCAAGCGAAGCUCCUGAUCGAAGCCCCGGUAAACGGCGGCCGUAACUAUAACGGUCCUAAGGUAGCGAAAUUCCUUGUCGGGUAAGUUCCGACCUGCACGAAUGGCGUAAUGAUGGCCAGGCUGUCUCCACCCGAGACUCAGUGAAAUUGAACUCGCUGUGAAGAUGCAGUGUACCCGCGGCAAGACGGAAAGACCCCGUGAACCUUUACUAUAGCUUGACACUGAACAUUGAGCCUUGAUGUGUAGGAUAGGUGGGAGGCUUUGAAGUGUGGACGCCAGUCUGCAUGGAGCCGACCUUGAAAUACCACCCUUUAAUGUUUGAUGUUCUAACGUGGACCCGUUACCCGGGUUGCGGACAGUGUCUGGUGGGUAGUUUGACUGGGGCGGUCUCCUCCUAAAGAGUAACGGAGGAGCACGAAGGUUGGCUAAUCCUGGUCGGACAUCAGGAGGUUAGUGCAAUGGCAUAAGCCAGCUUGACUGCGAGCGUGACGGCGCGAGCAGGUGCGAAAGCAGGUCAUAGUGAUCCGGUGGUUCUGAAUGGAAGGGCCAUCGCUCAACGGAUAAAAGGUACUCCGGGGAUAACAGGCUGAUACCGCCCAAGAGUUCAUAUCGACGGCGGUGUUUGGCACCUCGAUGUCGGCUCAUCACAUCCUGGGGCUGAAGUAGGUCCCAAGGGUAUGGCUGUUCGCCAUUUAAAGUGGUACGCGAGCUGGGUUUAGAACGUCGUGAGACAGUUCGGUCCCUAUCUGCCGUGGGCGCUGGAGAACUGAGGGGGGCUGCUCCUAGUACGAGAGGACCGGAGUGGACGCAUCACUGGUGUUCGGGUUGUCAUGCCAAUGGCACUGCCCGGUAGCUAAAUGCGGAAGAGAUAAGUGCUGAAAGCAUCUAAGCACGAAACUUGCCCCGAGAUGAGUUCUCCCUGAGACUUUAGGUCUCCUGAAGGAACGUUGAAGACGACGACGUUGAUAGGCCGGGUGUGUAAGCGCAGCGAUGCGUUGAGCUAACCGGUACUAAUGAACCGUGAGGCUUAACCUUACAACGCCGAA